ACGGGGGCUGUAGUAAAUUGGGGCCGUGGCGGUGCGAGGUGCGGGCCGGGGUUGACGGACACGGCCGCUCUGAGCGAGGGAGGGAGAUGAGGAGGCGCUCGUUCUGCAGGUGCCGAGCGGGCAGUUUCCAGCUCCAGACUUUCCCUGGAGUGGUAGGUAUGGCUGGCUCCUGAGUCACAGCCCGGCGCUCUCACAUGCCCCGUAGGAGGGUCCCACGCUUUGCUCUAGCUGCUCUCCGUGCUCGCGCACUGCCGGCGUUCCAGUCGAUCAUUGCUGCCAAACCUAAACAGAGCCCCGUGCACUGGGUGCCAAAAAUGUCUGCUGAAAAGUCACCAGGCCGAAGGUCCACGGGGGACGUGAAAAUUUGCAUCGCUGGAGUGGGUCAAGUAGGCUGACAUCAUUCUUGAGAGAUGUUUGUUUGAAGCCAUCCUGUACAUAAAAAGCCUCCCGUGGUGCUUUGGUGCCCUUUUUCUAAUAAUGUUUCUAGAUCAAUUUUCCCUGAAAAUUGUACCAAGUUUUCUUUGCUAUACUGAGCAGCAAAGAGAAAAAAAUAAAUGAUCAACAUUCCUUGACUACCAGCUGCACAUAGAGAGGAGAAUAUUUACCAUAUCCCCUGUUUCUCUGUUGCAUACCCUAUAUGACCAACUCACGUGGAAGCCAUUGCUUCUAAUCCUCUUGUUUAUUACAUUUGCCUCAUCUCUUUCCAGUUUUUCUACAUUUUUCACAGUGCCCAAAAAACUGAAUCCACAUCGUAUGGAGCAGCAGAGAGGAAUUGCUUCCUGUGGUUUUGAUACCAAUUAUAAGACCCCAAUUUUCAGACAAGAUAAUCAGAGAGAAAACAGAGGAUGCAGAGGAUGUGCCCAUUACUGGAUUCCUCCCAGGGACAUGUGACUAGGUGGUGCCUCAUGAUCCAGCGCCAGGAGUGUCUGUUGCAGCCAGUGACCCAGCAGAGGUGACAGGGAAUGUCAGCCUUUGCAGGGUGUGAUGCUGGCAUGAUCUACGCUCCCAGAGCAGUGGUCUAAGAGAAGGAGAAAGUGAUAAUCUGAUGUUUUCCCUCUACAAUCCCAGGGCAUAGAAAUCUCACAAAUAAAGCUUCCAUGUCACCAGGAUAAGAA